GAUGAAGAACGCAGCGAAAUGCGAUAAGUAAUGUGAAUUGCAGAAUCCAGUGAAUCAUCGAGUCUUUGAACGCACAUUGCGCCCGCCAGCAUUCUGGCGGGCAUGCCUGUUCGAGCGUCAUUUCAACCCUCGACCUCCCUUUGGGGAAGUCGGCGUUGGGGACCGGCAGCACACCGCCGGCCCUGAAAUGGAGUGGCGGCCCGUCCGCGGCGACCUCUGCGUAGUAAACCAACUCGCACCGGAACCCCGACGUGGCCACGCCGUAAAACACCCAACUUCUGAACGUUGACCUCGAAUCAGGUAGGACUACCCGCUGAACUUAAGCAUAUCAAUAAGCGGAGGA
rnacentral:misc_RNA from 1 species